rnacentral:rRNA from 1 species
UCUUUCUUUUGUCGUGGCGACCGGCGCACGGGUGAGUAACACGUAUCCAACCUGCCCUUUACUUGGGAGUAGCCUUUCGAAAGAAGGAUUAAUACCCGAUAGCAUAAUGAUUCCGCAUGGUUUCAUUAUUAAAGGAUUCCGGUAAAGGAUGGGGAUGCGUUCCAUUAGGUUGUUGGUGAGGUAACGGCCCACCAAGCCUUCGAUGGAUAGGGGUUCUGAGAGGAAGGUCCCCCACAUUGGAACUGAGACACGGUCCAA